CACGUAGGGGGCGAGCGUUGUCCGGAUUUAUUGGGCGUAAAGAGCUCGUAGGCGGCUCAGUAAGUCGGGUGUGAAAACUCCAGGCUCAACCUGGAGACGCCACCUGAUACUGCUGUGGCUAGAGUCCGGUAGGGGAGCAUGGAAUUCCUGGUGUAGCGGUGAAAUGCGCAGAUAUCAGGAGGAACACCAGUGGCGAAGGCGGUGCUCUGGGCCGGAACUGACGCUGAGACGCGAAAGCGUGGGGAGCAAACAGG
rnacentral:rRNA from 1 species